CUUUGACCAACGCUUUCUUCCUAAAAUCACCCAUCAUCUCUACUUGUUUCAUCACACACGCAGUUUAAAAAGGUGCAAAGGAGGAAGGACAGGGAGGAAGGAGGAGGGGUUCUGGUUCUGAAGCUCUUCUGGAUCAAAGCUUUGGAGACCUCCUCCCUCCACACCUUCCUGAUGUCAGAUCAGACUAGACACUGCCAGCUGUGCAGAGCAGUGAUGAAGGUCACGCAGCUCCCCGCCUGAAGGACGCAAGGUGGCGGAGGAUGCAGCUUAUGCUCCUUUGCAGUACAACAUGUGAGAACGUAGCAUGGAAACAGUGCCGCUAUAAAUAUAGUACGCAGCCGGCUCGGUGAAUCCUUCCUCCCUUCCCUCUGCUCUCUGAAGUGCUGCCUGCA